UUCCCCGCUGGCAGCCCGGCGUCGGGGGCGGCAGCGCCCGCGCGCCGGGGCUCCCUGCAGCGCGCCGGCGGGCUCCGUGCUCCGCUCGUGCCGGGGACCUGGCGCAGGGUGUCCCGGGCACCGGGAUCCGGCCCAGGAUCGGCCGCCGCGGCAGCAGCGGUGGUGAAAGGUGCUGGAUUGACAGGCCGUGGAGACGGAAGGGCCUCUGGACUCCACCGAAGUUUACAUUCACGAAGGACACGGAGAAUAAAUAGAAGACAGUGUUUAGAGUCCUCUGCAGACACUUCAGACUUGCUUAUAAUUCUGCAGCAAUUCCAUCACCUCUGCAGUGAUUGAUGCUCUCUAUAAAGUCUUGCCUUAAAACAUU